UACGGAGGGUGCAAACGUUGCUCGGAAUCAUUGGGCGUAAAGCGCACGUAGGCGGCUAGAUAAGUCGGGUGUGAAAGCCUGGGCUCAACCCAGGGAAGUGCAUUCGAAACUGUCUAGCUUGAAUCUCGGAGGGGUCAGAGAAUUCCGGUGUAGAGGUGAAAUUCGUAGAUAUCGGGAGGAAAUACCAGUGGCGAAGGCGCUGACCUGGACGAAGAUUGACGCUGAGGUGCGAAAGCGCGGGGAGCAAACAGGGGAUUAAGAA
rnacentral:rRNA from 1 species